rnacentral:rRNA from 1 species
GGAUGACGUCAAGUCAUCAUGGCCCUUACGGCCUGGGCUACACACGUGCUACAAUGGUCGGUACAGAGGGUUGCCUAAGCCGCGAGGUGGAGCUAAUCCCAUAAAACCGAUCGUAGUCCGGAUCGCAGUCUGCAACUCGACUGCGUGAAGUCGGAAUCGCUAGUAAUCGCGAAUCAGAAUGUCGCGGUGAAUACGUUCCCGGGCCUUGUACACACCGCCCGUCACACCAUGGGAGUGGGUUGCACCAGAAGUAGCUAGUCUAACCUUCGGGAGGACGGU